rnacentral:rRNA from 1 species
UACAGAGGGUGCGAGCGUUGUCCGGAAUCACUGGGCGUAAAGGGCGCGUAGGUGGCGCUCUAAGUCUGUGGUGAAAGCUCGACGCUCAACGUCGAGUCGGCCACGGAGACUGGAGGGCUCGAGCACUGUAGAGGCAGAUGGAAUUCCGGGUGUAGCGGUGGAAUGCGUAGAGAUCCGGAAGAACACCGGUGGCGAAGGCGGUCUGCUGGGCAGUAGCUGACACUGAGGCGCGACAGCGUGGGGAGCAAACAGG